CCUAGUGACGCACUUCCUGUCUUCAGCAGUUGAUUUAUCCGUAGCUUAUGUACUUAAUAUUGUAGCAUAGCUUCCCCGGUAUAUUAUAAAGGUUAUGCAUACAAAUAGCCAGUUCAACCCUAACAUUGUGAUGUUUUCUGUCCUCAGAUACAGAGAGAUGUGAAAGCCUGUCUGCAGAUGAAGAGGUCUCAAUUAAAAGCAGCGGUUCUUCGUGCUGGUCCUCGGGAGUCAAAGUGAUACCUUGCAACUGGAGAUUCCUUCAAAAUGAUUGCCUACAGUUACUGUGUAGGGCACUGCAAGGUUGGGUUCCAAGGCCGAUCUGGGACUGCCUCCUGUGGGAUUCAGGCGUGUGAAAGCUACCUGUGUCCUGCAUAACUUCAUGAGGAUGGACACGAGGACCAGGAGGGGAUCUGCGGCUUGCCGCCGUGUGCCAGAGGAGAGGUCUGCUGCUCUGCAUGAUGUUUCCAGGGUGGGGGCCAACAACGCAGCACGGGAGGCAAUCUUUGUGUGGGAGAUCUUCACCUCCUACUUCUUCGAAAAGGGUGCUGUUUGUUCCCUGGCAACACCGUAGACCACACUAUGCACAAAGAAAAGCUAUUUUAUGAGGCAUCCACAUUUUAACAAGAGUAUUCUCCCAUUUACUUAGCUAUGUCAAAUGCAGUUAUUCAAUUCCCAGUUUCUCUCCCUUUGAUUUCUACUUCUCAGGUGAGGAUGCUGUUUAGGUAAGGGUGUGAUGUCUGUACAAAAACAAAACAGGCUAUUUUAAAUCAAUCCAUAUUGAAAAAAUGUAGAACAAUUAGACACCCUAUAACCCACACCUACACACUCGUGUAUCAAUCUGAUGGAUUGUGUUAUGCAGUAAGCAGGCUCAGGUGUAUAACUGUGGCUCCCACCUUCAAAGAACAGGCAAGAGGGCCAACCAUGGAGAAUAAUAAGACACUUCAUUAUUUCUAUAACUGCGCUAUAUUGUUUGUCCUCGUGUGUCUGUGUAUGUUUUUCUGCUGACAGUGUGGACACCAGGUGAGGCUACACAAACAGAUUCCUGUUGAACACUGUCUAUUUAACUACCUUAUUUUCUCUCCUUCACUAAAUCCCUCUCCCCCUUCCCCCUAAAUCCUCUAGGUUAUAUCAGCUGUAUCAGCUGUGUCAGUGAACCCAUCCCGCAUCUGAACUGGCCAGGAAGUACCCGUGCUAAGGACUAUUCAGCGCUGGUCUGGCAAUUCAGAAUCCACACUUCAAGAUUGUUUUGAUCACACGGACUGGGAUUUGUUCCGGGUAGCUUCCGAGAGUAAUAUUACUGAUAUGGUGACUGAGUUUUAUCAGGAAGUGUAUAGGAGAUGUACCCACUGUGACUAUUAAAAACCUACCUUAACCAUAAACCGUGGAUAGAUGUCAGCAUUCGCUCAAAACUGAAAGCGCGAACCACCACAUUUAACCAUAGCAAGGUGACUCAAAAUAUGGCAGAAUACAAACAUUUUAGUUAUUCCCUCCGCAAGGCAAUCAAACAGGCAAAACGUCAGUAUGGAGACAAAGUGGAGUCGCAAUUCAACGGCUCAGACACGAGACGUAUGUGGCACUGUCUACAGAGAAUCACGGGCUACAAAAGGAAAACCAGCCACGUCGCAGACACCGAUGUCUUGCUUCCAGACAAGCUAAACACCUUCUUCGCCCGCUUUGAGGAUAGCACAGUGCCACCGACGCAGCCCGCUACUAAGGACUGUGGGCUCUCCUGCUCCGUGGCCGACGUGAGUAAGACGUUUAAGUGUGUUAACCCUCGCAAGGCUGCCGGCCCAGACGGCAUCCCUAGCCGCGUCCUCAGAGCAUGCGCAGACCAGCUGGCUGCAGACCUGCCAACAUGCAUGCAUUUUGCAUACCAACUACGCAAUUCUCUGUCCAUGUACCCAGGUACAAGAUCCAAGUUAAAAGUACGCAGAAAUGAAUAGGGCCAGAUUUUAUUUUUUUACAUUUUAAUAAAAAAUACAUCUGAGUAAAUCUAACAUCCCGAUUCUCGAGCUGCAACACAGACAUGUACGGAAUUUGUGUCAAUGGACAUGGAGAUGAAUACAUAAUUAUUUGACGUAGCUACCCCGUGUCUGGCCCUCCUGUUUGUUGUGAGUUUGCCGACUGUCAGCUGUACGUAAACACAUGGACAAAUCCCUUUUCGACUCCAUGUGUUGUGGGAAGGUAAACACUAAUUGUUUCAAGCUAAUGUUAGCAAACAUAAGAUGGACAUUCAGUGGGCUCUAAAGUGCCAGCAGUUCAUUUGCAUGUGAAAGAAAUUAAAUGCAAAUACGAAAAAUAACUGGUCGCAUUUGUGCAAGUGUGAAAUACAUUUAAUUCUGCGUCCCAUUAGUAGUAUUUUCCAUGUAACAUUACGAUGAUCACGCAACCUGAUAGACUAUAGCAGUAAUUAUGAUCCAUUAUCCUGUGUCCUCAGAUCAGUGCAGAUGAAGGAAAUAGAUAUUGAGAUGAACCGGUUUUAGAGUAUUUACAUGAUGCAUAGGAAGUGUAGUGUACAGUUUGUUAAUUAUAUUUCUGUAUAUAUGAAUUACAAAUCAGCCUGUAACUAGUUAAAUCAUAUUUCUAGUCUAUUACAGUUACAAUGUGUAACCAUUGAUGGACCAGGAUUGGUAAACAUUGUUGAAGUGUGUAAUUGUAAUACAUACAUGCAAACACAGCAUCAUUAAAAGACUGGAGUUUGAUACUCCUGGUAAAA